AGUGUGAGGGGUCACUGAUGUUAUGCCAUGAUAGUGAUCUCAGAUUGAAUCCUGAACAGUGGAUGAUUCAACAAAGAAAGUCCACUCCUGCUGCAAAGGAUAAGGGGGGGCCAGGAGAAGCCUUCCUCUCCCCCUCUCUCGCUCGUCCCUUCUUCUCGGCAGGAGGUCAGCUGUGACCACCUCCUCACAGAUAAAAGACACAGCACACCUCUGCCCGCUCUCUUCUCUUCAGCACUCUUCUACAGACCACCUCUCCAGGACAAGGGAGAGGGCCUGAACCAUGGGGCCAUAUGGCCUCAUCUGCUGGAACAUCUGAAAGAUUGCCUGGGCCAACAACACUUGAUCUAGGGUCUGCUAGAUUCGACUGCCUGCUUCAGCAGAGGACCUGACUGAAUCCGGACAAACAACAUGUCCGGGCAAAUACAGAGCUAAGUUGCAGUCCUAACUUCACAAUCAGAUGCAGGGAAAAAAAUCCGGCAUCUGAAACAGCUCUGUGUAUUUUUCCUCAGCCUGUACAGGGAAGUGAACACCAAUGGAGCUGAAGGCUGGAUGCUGAGGAAAACCCCUGCUCAUCGAACUGCAGCCGGUUAAGAGAACGUGCUCACACCAGGCCUCCGACCCAACCACGGCGUUAGCCACAUGCUGCUGUAAGGCUAAUGCUAGCCUUACAAGAGCCAAGCGCUAGCCCGCUAGCGCUAACCAACAACUUCCUCCUUCAACGCCCCUUCCGUGAAUGGCCAAACUGAACAGAAUUGAAAAGGACAGGUUUGGGCAGCGGGCUGAGGGUGAAGUAAAAGGUUUAUUGGCAAAAUGUUUCGUAAACCGUGGUGUUUAGAACGAAGGGCUAACCGGUAGGUCGCGCUAGCUAACAGGAUAUUAGCCUUGCUAACAUCCGGUUUCGGACCCCUAAAAAGGAGUCCGUUUUAAAGCGUAGAGCGUAAAUGUUCUGCUCUGCCAUCCUCCGAUGGUGUUAUAAGCCUUAUUCCCGCAUCAAUAUGGUAUAUUAAUGUCGGUUUUCAAGGCAAUUUCGACAGCUUUAUGUUGUAACCUCUUAGCCACCGAGUUGCCACAGCGACCCCAUGCACCCGGAGGGAGAAUCGCAUU